AUGAAGAUGAAAUGGACCAAAUGAGAAUUCAAAUGACAUAAUCAAAACACAAUGAUCAAAUGUGAAUGAAAUCAACAUCAAUCAAUGGCAAUUAGAAGGGAGAUGAAGAUUAGAGAUCAACAAAGGCAAACAUAUUUUUUGGUAUUUUUUGAAUUAAAAUAAAUGCAAAAUUAAAAUGGACAAAAUAUGGUCAAACCUCAAAUUCAAUUCAAAUCAACUUCAACAAGUCCAAUUGAAUUC
rnacentral:lncRNA from 1 species